rnacentral:rRNA from 1 species
AGAGUUUGAUCCUGGCUCAGGAUGAACGCUAGCGGCAGGCUUAAUACAUGCAAGUCGAACGGUAACAGGUCCUUCGGGACGCUGACGAGUGGCGCACGGGUGAGUAACGCGUACAAAACCUACCUUUUACUGGGGGAAAGUCGCUGGAAACGGCGAAUAAUCCCGCAUAAGACCACAGUGUCGCAUGGCACAGAGGUUAAAGGUUUCGGCCGGUAAAAGAUGGUUGUGCGUUCCAUUAGCUAGAUGGUAGGGUAAUGGCCUACCAUGGCGACGAUGGGUAGGGGGCGUGAGAGCGUGAUCCCCCACACGGGUACUGAGACACGGACCCGACUCCUACGGGAGGCAGCAGUAAGGAAUAUUGGUCAAUGGGCGAAAGCCUGAACCAGCCAUGCCGCGUGUGUGAUGAAGGCCCUUUGGGUUGUAAAGCACUUUUAGAUAGGAAGAAUGACAGGGAUUUAUCCUUGGAGAGACGGUACUAUCAGAAUAAGCACCGGCUAACUCCGUGCCAGCAGCCGCGGUAAUACGGAGGGUGCAAGCGUUAUCCGGAAUCACUGGGUUUAAAGGGUACGUAGGCGGUAAUAUAAGUCAGACGUCAAAGGCUGUGGCUAAACCAUAGUACGCGUUUGAAACUAUAUCACUUGAAUAUGUUCGAGGUGCACGGAAUGCGUCAUGUAGCGGUGAAAUGCAUAGAUAUGACGUAGAACACCAAUUGCGAAGGCAGUGCACUAGGGCAUUAUUGACGCUGAGGUACGAAAGCGUGGGUAGCGAACAGGAUUAGAUACCCUGGUAGUCCACGCCCUAAACGAUGCUAACUGGUCAUUUAUCACUUGAGAUAAGUGACUGAGGGAAACCAUUAAGUUAGCCACCUGGGGAGUACGUUCGCAAGAAUGAAACUCAAAGGAAUUGA